AAAAACCUGUCCUUUCCUCUUCAGACGACCUCGACAAGUUCCACAGAGAACUUCAACUGUGGUGAAUCAAGGUUUUGAUGUGUCACUGUCAGAUGCCAGUAGUGUUUUUGAUUCCAUAAAGUCGCUUAGUCAAAGUGAUGGAAGAUGGCGAUAUGAUUCUAGCAGUGCUGAAUCCAGCACUUAUGUUGCUGGGACAACACUUGAAACACUUGCAGGAGUGGUUUCCCUGGUAGAUCCAGAGGUGGAUCAAUCAAGG